AACAGCUGACGAGAGAGAGUCUAGGAGUCGGUGGCAGGCGUUGCGAACGCGGCUGCAGUGGAGGAGGAGGGUAGCGACACAGUGCGUUUCGCGAGUUGGUGUGGCCGUCUCGCGGGAAAGUCGAAGCAGGAAGGCAUCUCGCCACGUCACCCUGCGGUCGCACAGGCCCCAGAGAUCGAGGCUGCGCGCGACGGCGGCGGAGGAGUGGAAAGUGCGUGAGUGACGUCACAGUGCGUGUUUGUGUGCGAGCCAAGAGUGGUGGGGGCGCGCGCAGCGGCGAGGCCGAGAAAUACUAUUACCUCUCCUCCUGCUACUACGCGUAGUACUACGGCCGCCGGGUGGCCUGUGACAGCGCGGCGCAGUGCGGACAGAACCACUCGGCUCCUUUGUUCUGUGUCGCCGCCGACGACGGGGAGACAGUGAGGAGCGGAUGUCCGUGUGUAUCGUGUGCUCAGUGUGUAAUAUUUCUGAAGUAGAAUAGAAGGCGUGAAGUGUGAACCGUCGUGAAAGUGAAAACACUGCCGCAGCAGCCGAUCACAGGAUUGGACUGACGUCUCCGCUCCACGGCCCUACGAAACUGAAGGUCGCCCCAGCCGCCUCGGCCGUCCAUACCCGCAGGUGGCAGCCGUGACGAGCACCAGCUGGCGAUCACCGGCGACGGCGGCCGUAGCUUUGCCGCCGCGGACUUCAUGACACUGCACUCAACAGUUGUAGAUCGUCACGAGAAGCAGUUAUCAGUCGUAACGUACAUCACACAGCUGACAUUGCCGUGCCACGUAAUGCGCCUUCAGCAAGAUAAGAAGUAAUACGGUAGCGCCCCAUGAUCUCGGCGAGCCACCUGGUGGUGGACGGCGGCGCGCACGGGCUGGGCGGCGAGUUCGUGCGCCCGCUGCCGCGGCCGGCGCCGCUGCUGGCGCGCUACAAUGCGGG